GAUGAAGAACGUAGCGAAAUGCGAUAAGUAAUGUGAAUUGCAGAAUUCAGUGAAUCAUCGAAUCUUUGAACGCACCUUGCGCUCCUUGGUAUUCCGAGGAGCAUGCCUGUUUGAGUGUCAUUAAAUUCUCAACCUCAUCAGUUUUGUUAUGAAGCUGUGUGAGGCGUGGAUGUGGGGGUUUGUGCAGGCUGCCUCAGUGCGGUCUGCUCCCCUGAAAUGUAUUAGCGAGUUCCAACUGGGCUCCGUCUAUUGGUGUGAUAAUUAUCUACGCCGUGGAUUGGGCUUAGACUUGCUUCUAACCGUCCGCAAGGACAAUCUUUUGACAAUUUGACCUCAAAUCAGGUAGGACUACCCGCUGAACUUAAGCAUAUCAAUAAGCGGAGGA
rnacentral:misc_RNA from 1 species